UCGAGAUGAAGUUUUCGGAUGGAUUCCUGAUCGACUGAGCGGCGGACGGGUGAGUAACGCGUGGGUAACCUGCCUUAUACAGGGGGAUAACAGUUAGAAAUGACUGCUAAUACCGCAUAAGCGCACAGUACCACAUGGUACGGUGUGAAAAACUCCGGUGGUAUGAGAUGGACCCGCGUCUGAUUAGCUAGUUGGUGGGGUAACGGCCCACCAAGGCGACGAUCAGUAGCCGACCUGAGAGGGUGAUCGGCCACAUUGGGACUGAGACACGGCCCAAACUCCUACGGGAGGCAGCAGUGGGGAAUAUUGCACAAUGGGGGAAACCCUGAUGCAGCAACGCCGCGUGAGUGAAGAAGUAUUUCGGUAUGUAAAGCUCUAUCAGCAGGGAAGAAAAUGACGGUACCUGACUAAGAAGCCCCGGCUAACUACGUGCCAGCAGCCGCGGUAAUACGUAGGGGGCAAGCGUUAUCCGGAUUUACUGGGUGUAAAGGGAGCGUAGACGGCAGCGCAAGUCUGAAGUGAAAGCCCGGGGCUCAACCCCGGAAUGGCUUUGGAAACUGUGCAGCUAGAGUACCGGAGGGGUAAGCGGAAUUCCUAGUGUAGCGGUGAAAUGCGUAGAUAUUAGGAGGAACACCAGUGGCGAAGGCGGCUUACUGGACGGUAACUGACGUUGAGGCUCGAAAGCGUGGGG
rnacentral:rRNA from 1 species